rnacentral:rRNA from 1 species
UCGAGGAUCUUCGGCAAUGGGCGAAAGCCUGACCGAGCGACGCCGCGUGCGGGAUGAAGGCCUUCGGGUUGUAAACCGCUGUCAGUGGGGAGGAAGGCUCCGUGAAGAACGGGGUUUGACCUAUCCGCAGAGGAAGCAAGGGCUAAGUUCGUGCCAGCAGCCGCGGUAAGACGAACCUUGCAAACGUUAUUCGGAAUCACUGGGCUUAAAGGGUGCGUAGGCUGUGCAGAAAGUUGGGUGUGAAAUACCUCGGCUUAACCGAGGAAUUGCGCCCAAAACUACUGUGCUCGAGGAAGAUAGAGGUGAGCGGAACUUAGGGUGGAGCGGUGAAAUGCGUUGAUAUCCUAAGGAACACCGGUGGCGUAAGCGGCUCACUGGAUCUUUUCUGACGCUGAGGCACGAAAGCCAGGGUAGCAAACGG